rnacentral:rRNA from 1 species
GACGAACGCUGGCGGCGUGCUUAACACAUGCAAGUCGAACGAUGAAGCCGGAGCUUGCUCUGGUGAAUUAGUGGCGAACGGGUGAGUAACACGUGAGUAACCUGCCCUUGACUCUGGGAUAACUGCGGGAAACUGUAGCUAAUACCGGAUACGACCCUCGGAGGCAUCUCCUGGGGGUGGAAAGAAUUUCGGUCAAGGAUGGACUCGCGGCCUAUCAGCUAGUUGGUGAGGUAAAGGCUCACCAAGGCGACGACGGGUAGCCGGCCUGAGAGGGUGACCGGCCACACUGGGACUGAGACACGGCCCAGACUCCUACGGGAGGCAGCAGUGGGGAAUAUUGCACAAUGGGCGCAAGCCUGAUGCAGCAACGCCGCGUGAGGGAUGACGGCCUUCGGGUUGUAAACCUCUUUUAGCAGGGAAGAAGCGAAAGUGACGGUACCUGCAGAAAAAGCACCGGCUAACUACGUGCCAGCAGCCGCUUAA